GUGAUGAAGUUGGUUCAGCAUGCAGCAAACUCAACAGCAUGCAGGCCAUCAAGACCAAGUCAUGCAGGAGCUGCUGGAACGAGCUGAACUAUUCCUAUUUUGUUCAACUUGUAAUCUUAAGUUAAUGUAAUGUACUUUAGUUCAUUUAGAACUAUGUUAGGUUUAUGAUUGAUGUAUUUUGAUGACAAUUAAGCUGUUAAGUCAGCUUUGUUUAAGUGUGCAAGCUUAGUUUUUCAAGUUUCAAUGUAUUAGUGGUAGUAGGUGAUGAUUAGGUAUCAUUAUGCAGAUUUUGACAAGCAAAUUGCUUGGUUUAUGUAUUGGCAUUAUGCCAUUGUUCAAC
rnacentral:lncRNA from 1 species